rnacentral:rRNA from 1 species
UCCGUAGGUGAACCUGCGGAGGGAUCAUUACUGAGUGAGGGCCUCCGGGCCCGACCUCCAACCCUUUUGUGAACCACCUCGUUGCUUCGGGGGCGACCCUGCCGUUCGCGGCGUGGGGCCCCCGGAGCCCAUCAAACCCUGCGUAACCGAGUCGUCGGAGUUUAAACAAAUUAAACAAAACUUUCAACAACGGAUCUCUUGGUUCGGGCAUCGAUGAAGAACGCAGCGAAAUGCGAUAAGUAAUGUGAAUUGCAGAAUUCAGUGAAUCAUCGAAUCUUUGAACGCACAUUGCGCCCCCUGGUAUUCCGGGGGGCAUGCCUGUCCGAGCGUCAUUACACCAAUCAAGCCUGGCUUGGUAUUGGGCGUCGCGGGUCUGACCCGCGCGCCUUAAAGUCUCACCGGCUGAGCGGCGUCGUCUCUAAGCGUUGUGGAAACUAUUCGCGGAGAGGAGGCGCGGCGUGGCCGUUAAAUACCCCAUCAAAGGUUGACCUCGGAUCGGGUAGGGAUACCCGCUGAACUUAAGCAUAUUAAUAAGCGGAGGA